ACCCGUCUUGAAACACGGACCAAGGAGUCUAACAUGUGCGCGAGUCAUUGGGUUAUUUUAAAUGUGAAUAAGCCUAAAGGCGCAAUGAAAGUGAAGGUCGACCUUAGCGUCGAUCGAGGGAGGAUGGCCCGGGCUCGCUCGGGUCCGCACUCCCGGGGCGUCUCACGGUCGUUUCGACCAGAGGCGCACCCAGAGCGUACACGUUGGGACCCGAAAGAUGGUGAACUAUGCCUGGUCAGGACGAAGUCAGGGGAAACCCUGAUGGAGGUCCGUAGCGAUUCUGACGUGCAAAUCGAUCGUCGGAACUGGGUAUAGGGGCGAAAGACUAAUCGAACCAUCUAGUAGCUGGUUCCCUCCGAAGUUUCCCUCAGGAUAGCUGGCACUCGCUUGAGCGAGUCUCAUCUGGUAAAGCGAAUGAUUAGAGGCCUUGGGGCCGAAACGACCUCAACCUAUUCUCAAACUUUAAAUGGGUGAGAUCUCUGGCUUGCUUGAACGUUGAAGCCACGAGAUUAUUGCAAUGGAUCAGAGUGCCAAGUGGGCCAAUUUUGGUAAGCAGAACUGGCGCUGUGGGA
rnacentral:rRNA from 1 species